GUGUUGUAUGAAAGGAGAGAAGGUUAGCACGCCCCUUGACCAGGAUGAAAGAGGCCCUCCAGCCAGUACAACAUGCAUACGGGUAAGGCAUUGCCACCUACUUUGUGGCAUCUAACCAGUUUUUAGU